AAUGAACGCUGGCGGCAGGCCUAAAACAUGCAAGUCGAACGCUCUAGCAAUAGAGAGUGGCGCACGGGUGAGUAACACGUGGGAAUAUGCCUUUUGGUACGGAACAACGUCUGGAAACGGACGCUAAUACCGUAUGGUCCCUCCGGGGUAAAGAUUUAUCGCCAAAAGAUUAGCCCGCGUCUGAUUAGCUAGUUGGUGAGGUAAUGGCUCACCAAGGCGACGAUCAGUAGCUGGUCUGAGAGGACGAUCAGCCACACGGGGACUGAGACACGGCCCAGACUCCUACGGGAGGCAGCAGUUAGGAAUAUUGGACAAUGGGCGCAAGCCUGAUCCAGCCAUGCCGCGUGAGUGAUGAAGGCCUUCGGGUUGUAAAGCUCUUUAGUCCACGAAUAUAAUGACUGUAGUGGAAGAAUAAGCCCCGGCUAACUUCGUGCCAGCAGCCGCCGUAAGAC
rnacentral:rRNA from 1 species